UUGUCUUUAGUUGCCAUCAUUAAGUUGGGCACUCUAAAGAGACUGCCGGUGUCAAACCGGAGGAAGGUGGGGAGUGACGUCAAGUCCUCAUGGCCUUUAUGACCAGGGCUACGACACGUACUACAAUGGCAGGUACAAAGGGCAGCCACUUAGCGAUAAGGCGCGAAUCCCAUAAAACCUGUCUCAGUCCGGAUUGGAGUCUGCAACUCGACUCCAUGAAGUUGGAAUCGCUAGUAAUCGCGGAUCAGCAUGCCGCGGUGAAUACGUUCCCGGGCCUU
rnacentral:rRNA from 1 species